rnacentral:lncRNA from 1 species
CGGAUCCCAGGGUCUAUUUAAACCCGUCCUCCCCCCUUCAGGCGUCCCACUCCAUUUCUGAUUUUUUGCUGGCGUCUGUCAUCUCCCCGAGAGUCUGCUCUAGCGAACGCCCUCUCGAGCCGUAGGCGCCUUCCGUUUCUCGCUCCCGGGUCCCCAGAGCAAGAUAGGUUAGUGCCAACCUUCUUCUUCUUAUCGCCUAGGGGCUUCUCCUCUUUUCAUUUCUUUCGUGUCUUCUUCUGAGUUGACCUUCGACAUCUCGUUCCCUUCUCAGUUUGCCUUUCUAGGGUCCUUUAGGUUCUCCCCCCCAAAAAAAAAAAAAUAUCUUCCGACUCUUCUGCCCCCGUAAGUUCUGGGAGUACUUCUGCUUCGAACCCCCAGGCCCCCGUUUCUGCGGACGAACCCGCGUUCGGGGCAGGGCCUCGCCCAGUUUUUGCACCGGGCACCAUUCCAUGUUCGUCGACUCCGGACAAACUUCUCCUGAUAAGGGCUCGGUAUGGGAUUCCUUCCGAGUACGACCUGGAGCUUCCUGGCCCCUCUGACCGGGCCAGCGCUCCCCC